GGAGGCGUUUGGGGGUGGUUGAUGAGCGUCGAUGGCCUGUACCGCAGCAUGGCGAUUGGAUGUGGGUCCAGCUCGUUUUUUCUCCAGCGACAAGGGAGAAAGGGGAUCUGGGGAUAGAAGCGAAGGCUCUGAGUGUGCGGCGGCGGCGCAAGUGGUGGCGGCGACGGAGGCAUAUCAGCGAGAAGGCAAAAACUACAUGCUCGCGUGGAUCGCUCCCCGGUGGGCGAGAAUGUGGCGGCUGACUUCCCAGUCGCUCCGGUUGACAGGAAGGUUGUAGGUUACCCAUCUUCGCAGAGGAGGCGUGCAGCGCAGUGGCUCUAAUGGAGAUGCUGGGGAGCGGAGACGCUGCGGAAGAGGAAUCCGCCAAUGGAUCCAGAUGGGGGAUCUCGAGAUGAGGGGAAAACCUAGCGAGACGAUUUGGUGAAGCUUGGCCGGGCUGAUUGGAGCGAUGCCGACUGCGGCGAGCAAACCAGUGUUGCUGCUGGUGGAGGCGCCAUGUCCAAUUUCACCUAAGUGAAGGUGAUAACCCGGACACCAUUGAUUAGGGUGGCAAUGAUGGACCCCUGGGUGAAGAUGGGAACAAUGUGAUUGAAGAACCUAGUCAGGCCAACUCUACCGCACGACCCCAUUUUCUCCGGGAUCUACAUUGACAACCUUGACCUGGGCAUCUUCAACAUGAAACACGAUGUGUUCCCGAGGAUCAAACAAUUUGGCGAGGGCAUGGUGCGGUGGAUGGCCACAAUGGCCACGGACGUUGGAGUUGCCGAGCCAUCAUUUGCAUCAGCAUCGCUUAGGGAUCCUUCUAGAGUGUCUUACAGAGGAAGACAUGCGCAAACAGUUGUUGCAACCAAUUUUACGCUAUACCAGUUAAUGCGUCUAUGCAAAGCAGAGUGACUGGCAAGUGUAAAGAUUGGAGGAAGUGUUGAACCCUUUGGUCUCGGGCCGCUGUAUAUAUUGAGAGAUUAUCGUGGGAUACAAGUUUGGGAGGUUGCUAGGACUUUGCAGAGUUACAUGAGAGAGAUACAGGAGAUUACACGAGAGGGAGAAGAGAUAGAAAUUUGAAUACAACACAUAUCUCUAUCUAUCUAUCUAACAUCCUCCCUAAAUCUAGACCUAUGAAACUCUGUCAAGAUUUAGAUUGUAUAUAAACUCGUCCAUUCUCCUCGUGGAAAGUGGCUUGGUAAACCCAUCAGCAAGUUGAUCUCCUGUGGGAAUAAACCUGAUGUCAAGUAGCUUUCGAGCCACCCGUUCUCUGACAAAAUGGAAAUCAACUUCUUUG